UACGUAGGGGGCAAGCGUUGUCCGGAAUCAUUGGGCGUAAAGCGCGUGUAGGCGGCCCGGUAAGUCCGCUGUGAAAGUCGGGGGCUCAACCCUCGAAUGCCGGUGGAUACUGUCGGGCUAGAGUGCGGAAGAGGCGAGUGGAAUUCCUGGGUGUAGCGGUGAAAUGCGCAGAUAUCAGGAGGAACACCAAUUGCGAAGGCAGCUCGCUGGGACGUUACUGACGCUGAGACGCGAAAGCGUGGGGGAGCAAACAGG
rnacentral:rRNA from 1 species